rnacentral:rRNA from 1 species
CCUGAGAAACCCAAAAGAUCGAAUGGGGAGAUUCAUCGCAGACGGCGUCGGCUUCCGUGCGGCACGCGAUGGCGGGACCUCGGUCUCGCGUCACGUUGCCGCUGCGGCACGUCUGGCGUCGUCGGCGUGCACUUCUCCCAUAGUAGGACGUCGCGACCCGUUGGGUGUCGGAUCAAUGGCCGGGUCGGUCGUCUGUCGUGCUCUCGCGCUUCAGACCGGCCGGUCGAACGUCCGACUGCCCGGCGGUAUCGAACGUUGAAAACUGGUACUGGGCCGCAUUCAGUGCGUUCCUGGCUCGUCGGCAGGCUCGUCUCGCUCGGAUUUACGGACCUAGCGCCGUUGCCGGGCGCUUGGCGCGGCCGUUAGUCGACGAUGUCCUCGGACUGGCUCUUACCGGUCGGCGACGCUACUGCUUUGGGUACUUUC